rnacentral:lncRNA from 1 species
AGGGUUUGAUUUAGGAUUUAGAUAGGAUUUGAUUUAGGAUUUAAGAUUUGAUUAGGGUUUGAUUAGGGUUUUAUAUAGGAUUUGGAUUAGGAUUUUAUUUAGGAUUUGAAUUAGGAUUUGAUUUAGGAUUUAAGAUUUGGAUUAGGAUUUGGUUAGGGUUUGAUUUAGAAUUUAGGGUUUGGUUUAGGAUUUGGUUAGGAUUUGGUUAGGGUUUGAUUUAGGAUUUGGUUUAGGAUUUGAUUGGGAUUUGAUUUAAGAUUUAUUUACGGUUUGAUUUAGAGUUUAGGAUUUUAUUAGGAUUUAAGAUUUAAUUAGGUUUGGCCUAAAGUUUGAAUGAAGCUCAAUAGGAUUUUAACUAGAAUUAAAUUAAGAUUGAAUUGAGAUGUAUUUGAGUGAUAUUUGUGAUCCUUCUAAUAUUUUUUUAAGAAUUCUUAUUAUUUGUUUGAAAUUUCUUGAGAUUUUUUUUAAUUUAAU